GUGCUGUCAAGCCAUGGAGUCAAGGGGAUCCGAUUAGACUCCAAGCCUGACAGUAAACUGUACCAGCGUGUAGGACAUGCCCGGGAAGGAAGAACAAGUUUCCUGCCAGCCGUGGAGUCAAGGGGAUCCGAUUAGACUCCAAGGCUGACAGUCGAGGAACCACAUUGACGGACUUGACCUGGAUCU